GGCAGCUGUCCUGACUGGCCGGAGCCUCCCUGGCCCUGCUGCUACCCGGAGGAGCUGCCUGAGCACACCUGGCCCGACUUCCCUGAGGAUCUGCUGGAGCUGCCACCAAGCCCUGGCCGAGAGGAGCCUAUGCUGAUUGACUGGCCUGGACCCGGUGCAAGUGACGAGUACCACGGAGAAAGAAGUGAAGGGUAAGAGCCCACCCCAAUUGUGAGAUGGAAGGCGCCCAAGAGCCGUGAGACAGUGAGCGUUGUGGAUUCCAGGCUAUGCAGAUGCCAUGAAGCUGGGAGUGGAGCAGACGUCACCAUCAGUGAGAUAAGUGUCUAGUUUGGUGAGGACUCUUGUAACGGUCCACCUGCCUCCAGGCCAGGACUUGUCGUUAGCUGGGGCUGAGUUUGUAGGAAAAGGUUCCUGAAUAGCUGUAGUUACGAGGGAGACAAGGUCCCCAUUUUCAGGGGCUGGUCAUUUCUCUGUCCACAAGCAGUGUGUUCUCUGCAGCAGAAGGUUGGAUCCAGGGGGAUGACUCCAGCUGAGGAAUCAUCCAGGAGCAGCAGCCGGAGGAGAAAUUGGCAGAAGUGGACCUGAGCCGCCUGGAAAUCCUCUUAAGUGGAGAUCAACAGUCCUCAGCUUUCUGCCUCCCACAUAACUGCCUUACCAAGGGAAAAGAAGUCACGUGUCAGUGUCUACUGCCUUCAUGCCAUGGAAAGCGAGCGAGAGCGAUAGGACCCCAAGAACUACUGAUGCCAAGGAAAAGCUGUCCUACUGGGAGUGGAACAGUAGCCACUCUCAAUGAGAACUGUCUGUUUUGGUGAUUGCUCUGCUCACGGCCCUGCCUGCUCCUGGUAGGGACGCCACAUUAGCUGGGGCUGGGUUUGUAAGAAAAUGUUCUUGGCUAGCUGUGGUUAGG